rnacentral:tRNA from 1 species
GCGGUAGUGGCUCAGGGGUAGAGCACCGCCUUGCCAAGGCGGGGGUCGCGGGUUCAAAUCCCGUCUACCGCU